GUGCCAGCAGCCGCGGUAAUACAGGGGGGGCAAGCGUUGUUCGGAAUUACUGGGCGUAAAGGGGUUGUAGGCGGCCAAUUAAGUCCGAUGUGAAAUCCCAAAGCUUAACUUUGGAACUGCGUCGGAUACUGGAUGGCUUGAAUUCGGGAGAGGGAUGCAGAAUUCCAGGUGUAGCGGUGAAAUGCGUAGAUAUCUGGAGGAAUACCGGUGGCGAAGGCGGCAUCCUGGACCGACAUUGACGCUCUAAACCGAAAGCUAGGGGAGCAAACGGGAUUAGAAACCCCUGUAGUCC
rnacentral:rRNA from 1 species